GACGAACGCUGGCGGCGUGCUUAACACAUGCAAGUCGAACGGAAAGGCCCUGCUUUUGUGGGGUGCUCGAGUGGCGAACAGGUGAGUAACACGUGAGUAACCUGCCCUUAACUUUGGGAUAACUUCAGGAAACUGGGGCUAAUACCGGAUAGGAGCUCCUGCUGCAUGGUGGGGGUUGGAAAGUUUCGGCGGUUGGGGAUGGACUCGCGGCUUAUCAGCUUGUUGGUGUGGUAGUGGCUUACCAAGGCUUUGACGGGUAGCCGGCCUGAGAGGGUGACCGGGCACAUUGGGACUGAGAUACGGCCCAGACUCCUACGGGAGGCAGCAGUGGGGAGUAUUGCACAAUGGGCGGAAGCCUGAUGCAGCAACGCCGCGUGCGGGAUGACGGCCUUCGGGUUGUAAACCGCUUUCGCCUGUGACGAAGCGUGAGUGACGGUAAUGGGUAAAGAAGCACCGGCUAACUACGUG
rnacentral:rRNA from 1 species